rnacentral:rRNA from 1 species
GAUCAUGCUCAGGAUGAACGCUGGCGGCGUGCUUAACACAUGCAAGUCGAACGGAGAGCUAAUGACAGAGGAUUCGUCCAAUGGAAUUAGUUUCUUAGUGGCGGACGGGUGAGUAACGCGUGAGGAACCUGCCUUGGAGUGGGGAAUAACAGUUGGAAACAGCUGCUAAUACCGCAUAAUGCAGUUGAGUCGCAUGGCUCUGACUGCCAAAGAUUUAUCGCU